rnacentral:sRNA from 1 species
UAGUGAAUUAUCAAAGCAGGUAGCAUUG